CCUACGGGGGGCUGCAGUCGAGAAUCAUUCACAAUGGGGGAAACCCUGAUGGUGCGACGCCGCGUGGGGGAAUGAAGGUCUUCGGAUUGUAAACCCCUGUCAUGUGGGAGCAAAUUAAAAAGAUAGUACCACAAGAGGAAGAGACGGCUAACUCUGUGCCAGCCGCCGCGGUAAUACAGAGGUCUCAAGCGUUGUUCGGAAUCACUGGGCGUAAGGCGUGCGUAGGCUGUUUCGUAAGUCGGGUGUGAAAGGCGCGGGCUCAACCCGCGGACGGCACAUGAUACUGCGAGACUAGAGUAAUGGAGGGGGAACCGGAAUUCUCGGUGUAGCAGUGAAAUGCGUAGAUAUCGAGAGGAACACUCGUGGCGAAGGCGGGUUCCUGGACAUUAACUGACGCUGAGGCACGAAGGCCAGGGGAGCGAAAGGGAUUAGAUACCCCGGUAGUC
rnacentral:rRNA from 1 species